rnacentral:lncRNA from 1 species
AAAUAGGGUGAGGCGAACCCAACGUUUGGAAGGGUGUUUUGUCACUAUCAUACAAGAUGUCUAAUGACAUGCGACUUCGUGUUAUCAUAAGACAAGGUUGUGCAAAUCCACUUACUGAGUAUAUCUACAAGCACUACCUAUAUGAUCUUGGAGUUUGGUUGAAGUAUAAUUCUCAAUUAGAGACGGUGAGGAUAAUGAUAUGUCAAGAGAAGACUCGCCAUUAGAAAGAAUAUGAUAGUAAUCUUCUCGUUUUUCUUUGGGGUUUAUUGGGUCAACCAAGGAUAAUUCUGUGGGCA